GAUGAACGCUAGCGGCAGGCCUAAUACAUGCAAGUCGAACGGUAAGUAUUUUAGCAAUAGAAUACGAGAGUGACGUACGGGUGCGUAACACGUAUGCAACCUACCCUUUACAGGAGGAUAGCUCGGGGAAACUCGAAUUAACCCUCCAUGAGAUCACAGUGUGGCAUCACACAGUGAUUAAAACUCCGGUGGUAAAGGAUGGGCAUGCGUCUGAUUAGUUAGUUGGCGGGGUAACGGCCCACCAAGACGAUGAUCAGUAGGGGAACUGAGAGGUUGAUCCCCCACACUGGCACUGAGAUACGGGCCAGACUCCUACGGGAGGCAGCAGUAGGGAAUAUUGGUCAAUGGAUGGAAGUCUGAACCAGCCAUGCCGCGUGCAGGAAGAAGGCCUUCUGGGUUGUAAACUGCUUUUGCCAGGGGAUAAAAAGACCAUGCGUGGUUAAUUGAAGGUACCUGGUGAAUAAGCCACGGCUAACUACGUGCCAGCAGCCGCGGUAAUAC
rnacentral:rRNA from 1 species